rnacentral:rRNA from 1 species
CGKGCUAWACUGCAAGUCGAACGCUUCUUUCCUCCCGAGUGCUUGCACUCAAUUGGAAAGAGGAGUGGCGGACGGGUGAGUAACACGUGGGUAACCUACCCAUCAGAGGGGGAUAACACUUGGAAACAGGUGCUAAUACCGCAUAACAGUUUAUGCCGCAUGGCAUAAGAGUGAAAGGCGCUUUCGGGUGUCGCUGAUGGAUGGACCCGCGGUGCAUUAGCUAGUUGGUGAGGUAACGGCUCACCAAGGCCACGAUGCAUAGCCGACCUGAGAGGGUGAUCGGCCACACUGGGACUGAGACACGGCCCAGACUCCUACGGGAGGCAGCAGUAGGGAAUCUUCGGCAAUGGACGAAAGUCUGACCGAGCAACGCCGCGUGAGUGAAGAAGGUUUUCGGAUCGUAAAACUCUGUUGUUAGAGAAGAACAAGGACGUUAGUAACUGAACGUCCCCUGACGGUAUCUAACCAGAAAGCCACGGCUAACUACGUGCCAGCAGCCGCGGUAAUACGUAGGUGGCAAGCGUUGUCCGGAUUUAUUGGGCGUAAAGCGAGCGCAGGCGGUUUCUUAAGUCUGAUGUGAAAGCCCCCGGCUCAACCGGGGAGGGUCAUUGGAAACUGGGAGACUUGAGUGCAGAAGAGGAGAGUGGAAUUCCAUGUGUAGCGGUGAAAUGCGUAGAUAUAUGGAGGAACACCAGUGGCGAAGGCGGCUCUCUGGUCUGUAACUGACGCUGAGGCUCGAAAGCGUGGGGAGCAAACAGGAUUAGAUACCCUGGUAGUCCACGCCGUAAACGAUGAGUGCUAAGUGUUGGAGGGUUUCCGCCCUUCAGUGCUGCAGCAAACGCAUUAAGCACUCCGCCUGGGGAGUACGACCGCAAGGUUGAAACUCAAAGGAUUUGACGGGGGCCCGCACAAGCGGUGGA